UGGACAACUUAUUGUAUUCGACUGUAUUCACGACGUGAAAUAGGGGAUUACACUGUUUUUAAAACGGAAAGUGAAUCAAUUAACAUAAUAGACUCGU
rnacentral:pre_miRNA from 1 species